rnacentral:rRNA from 1 species
GAUGAACGCUGGCGGCGUGCCUAAUACAUGCAAGUCGAGCGAACGGACGAGAAGCUUGCUUCUCUGAUGUUAGCGGCGGACGGGUGAGUAACACGUGGAUAACCUACCUAUAAGACUGGGAUAACUUCGGGAAACCGGAGCUAAUACUGGAUCAUAUUUUGAACCGCAUGGUUCAAAAGUGCAAGACGGCUUUGCUGUCACUUAUAGAUGGAUCCGCGCUGCAUUAGCUAGUUGGUAAGGUAACGGCUUACCAAGGCAACGAUGCAUAGCCGACCUGAGAGGGUGAUCGGCCACACUGGAACUGAGACACGGUCCAGACUCCUACGGGAGGCAGCAGUAGGGAAUCUUCCGCAAAGGGCGAAAGCCUGACGGAGCAACGCCGCGUGAGUGAUGAAGGUCUUCGGAUCGUAAAACUCUUUUAUUAGGGAAGAACAUAUGUGUAAGUAACUGUGCACAUCUUGACGGUACCUAAUCAGAAAGCCACGGCUAACUACGUG